CCCUUAGAUGUUCUGGGCCGCACGCGCGCUACACUGACGAUGGCAACGAGUUUUUCCUUCGCCGAAAGGUGUGGGUAAUCUUUUGAAACAUCGUCGUGCUGGGGAUAGAUCAUUGCAAUUUUUGAUCUUGAACGAGGAAUUCCUAGUAAGCGCGAGUCAUCAGCUCGCGUUGAUUACGUCCCUGCCCUUUGUACACACCGCCCGUCGCUACUACCGAUUGAAUGGUUUAGUGAGGACUCCUGAUUGGCGCCGCCGCCCCGGCAACGGAGCAGCGGACUGCCGAAAAGUUGUUCAAACUUGAUCAUUUAAAGGAAGUAAAAGUCGUAACA
rnacentral:rRNA from 1 species